rnacentral:rRNA from 1 species
CACGGAUCCAGACUUUGAUUCUGGCUCAGAUUGAACGCUGGCGGCAUGCCUUACACAUGCAAGUCGAACGGCAGCACGGGAGCAAUCCUGGUGGCGAGUGGCGAACGGGUGAGUAAUAUAUCGGAACGUGCCCAGUCGUGGGGGAUAACGUAGCGAAAGCUACGCUAAUACCGCAUACGAUCUAUGGAUGAAAGCGGGGGAUCGCAAGACCUCGCGCGAUUGGAGCGGCCGAUAUCAGAUUAGAUAGUUGGUGAGGUAAAGGCUCACCAAGUCGGCGAUCGUUAACUGGUCUGAGAGGAUGAUCAGUCAGACUGGAACUGAGAUACGGUCCAGACUCCUACGGGAGGCAGCAGUGAGGAAUCUUCCACAAUGGGCGAAAGCCUGAUGGAGCAACGCCGCGUGCAGGAUGAAGGCCUUCGGGUCGUAAACUGCUUUUAUAAGUGAAGAAUAUGACGGUAACUUAUGAAUAAGCACCGGCUAACUACGUGCCAGCAGCCGCGGUAAU